UACGAAGGGGGCUAGCGUUGCUCGGAAUCACUGGGCGUAAAGGGCGCGUAGGCGGGCACGUAAGUCAGGGGUGAAAGCCCACGGCUCAACCGUGGAAGGGCCUUUGAUACUGCGUGUCUGGAGGGAGGUAGGGGCGUGCGGAACUUCCGGUGGAGCGGUGAAAUGCGUAGAUAUCGGAAGGAACACCGGUGGCGAAAGCGGCGCGCUGGGCCCCUUCUGACGCUGAGGCGCGAAAGCCAGGGGAGCAAACGGG
rnacentral:rRNA from 1 species